CUAUGAAUAAGAUAUUAAUUUAUGCAUUAUUUAGCACUUAUCACACCCCCCAACCUACAUUUUGCUAGUCCUCGAGCGAAAUAAUAGAAAAAACUAACUCACUUUCGCAGAAAUCGCGAUUGCAUUUACCGUAUGCAAUAAGGCUUUAAACCCCUAGGUGGCCCUAGUGGACGAGUUUUGUCUCGUGAGGGUUUCCGGCUCAGAUACCCACAAACUGUUGUCUCUACCCAAAGAAUUUAUUUUAUUAUUUUAUAAAAUCUAAUUUCAAAUGCAUAAGUGCCAAGAAUUUCAAAAGCACACAAAGUUUUAAUUACUAAGUCAGCCCAAAUCUUAGGUCAGUAUGCAACUUAAGUUGAAGUCAUUAAGUUUCCGUUAGAGAAUUGUAAGGCUAAUUUAUUCUUGGGUGCUCGGUGAUAUCUGGACCAUACACAAGCUAAGGCUUUAGAUUCUCCAAAAUACUGCUAAAACUAGUAGUU
rnacentral:lncRNA from 1 species